rnacentral:rRNA from 1 species
GAUGAACGCUGGCGGCGUGCCUAACACAUGCAAGUCGAGCGACUCUCUUCGGAGAAGAGCGGCGGACGGGUGAGUAACGCGUGGGUAACCUGCCCUGUACACACGGAUAACAUACCGGAAGGUAUGCUAAUACGAGAUAAUAUACUUUUAUCGCAUGGUAGAAGUAUCAAAGCUUUUGCGGUACAGGAUGGACCCGCGUCUGAUUAGCUAGUUGGUAAGGUAACGGCUUACCAAGGCGACGAUCAGUAGCCGACCUGAGAGGGUGAUCGGCCACAUUGGAACUGAGACACGGUCCAAACUCCUACGGGAGGCAGCAGUGGGGAAUAUUGCACAAUGGGCGAAAGCCUGAUGCAGCAACGCCGCGUGAGCGAUGAAGGCCUUCGGGUCGUAAAGCUCUGUCCUCAAGGAAGAUAAUGACGGUACUUGAGGAGGAAGCCCCGGCUAACUACGUGCCAGCCGCCGCUGUAACAC